UUAUGAUUCUCUUUGAAGCGUAGAAAAAAAGUUAGUAACUGAAAACAUAGGGGUGUUUGGCCUAGCUUUUAAAAAGUAAUUUUGGGUUGAAAAGUGAUUUUUGAUUUAAUAGAGCGUUUGGCAACCUUAUUUUUAAAAUCUAAUUCUGCUUUUCAAAAUCAGAAAAUUGAUUUUGAAGCAACCAGAAUCAGAAACAGAAAAAAACUGCUUCUUGAAAUCUGAUUCUGAUUUUAGACUGAAAUUUCAAUUUUUUAUUUUUAUUUUAAAUUAAUUUAAUGUUUAAAUUUAAUUUUAAUUUUAAAUUUUAAUUUCAGAUUCAUUUUUUGAAUUUUUAAAUUUUAACUUUUAAAUUUUAAAAUUUAAAAAAUAGAUUUCAAACUUUAAAUUUUAAAUUUUAAUUUCAAAUUUUAAAUCUCAAAUUUUAGAUUUUAAAUUUUCAAUUUUUAAAAUUCAAAUUUCAAAUUUAAAACUUAAGAUAAAAUUUAAAAUUUCACAUUUUAGAUUUUAAAAUUUAAAUUUAAAAAUUUAAAAAUUUUAAAUUUUAAAUUACAAGUUUUAAUCUUCAAAUUAUAAAUUUCAAAUUCUUAAAAUUUAAAUUUUAAAUAUUCAAAUUUUAAUUUUAAAUAUACAAAUUUUAAAUUUUAAAUUUUAAAUAUUCAAAUUUUAAAUUUUAUAUUUUAAAUUUCAUAAUUAUUUUAAAUUUUAAAUUUUAAAUUUCAU
rnacentral:lncRNA from 1 species